UACGUAGGGUGCAAGCGUUGUCCGGAAUUAUUGGGCGUAAAGAGCUCGUAGGCGGCUUGUCGCGUCGACCGUGAAAACCCGCGGCUUAACUGCGGGCUUGCGGUUGAUACGGGCGGGCUAGAGUUCGGUAGGGGAGACUGGAAUUCCUGGUGUAGCGGUGAAAUGCGCAGAUAUCAGGAGGAACACCGGUGGCGAAGGCGGGUCUCUGGGCCGAUACUGACGCUGAGGAGCGAAAGCGUGGGGAGCGAACAGG
rnacentral:rRNA from 1 species